GAUGAACGCUAGCUACAGGCUUAACACAUGCAAGUCGAGGGGCAGCAUGAAAGGAACUUCGGUUCUUUUUGAUGGCGACCGGCGCACGGGUGCGUAACGCGUAUCGAACCUGCCUCAUACUCGGGGAUAGCCUUGCGAAAGUAAGAUUAAUACCCGGCGGUCUCGGAUGGCCGCAUGACUAUCCGAGUGAAGAUUUAUCGGUAUGAGAUGGCGGUGCGUCCCAUUAGCUAGUUGGUGAGGUAACGGCUCACCAAGGCAUCGAUGGGUAGGGGUUCUGAGAGGAAGGUCCCCCACAUUGGAACUGAGACACGGUCCAAACUCCUACGGGAGGCAGCAGUGAGGAAUAUUGGUCAAUGGACGAAAGUCUGAACCAGCCAAGUAGCGUGCAGGACGACGGCCCUCUGGGUUGUAAACUGCUUUUAGUCGGGAAUAAAAAGAGGGACGUGUCCCUUAUUGUAUGUACCAUCAGAAAAAGGACCGGCUAAUUCCGUGCCAGCAGCCGCGGUAAUACGGAAGGUCCAGGCGUUAUCCGGAUUUAUUGGGUUUAAAGGGUGCGUAGGCGGAAGAAUAAGUCAGCGGUGAAAUGCUUCAGCUCAACUGGAGAAUUGCCGAUGAAACUGUUUUUCUAGAGUAUAAAAGAGGUAUGCGGAAUGCGUGGUGUAGCGGUGAAAUGCAUAGAUAUCACGCAGAACCCCGAUUGCGAAGGCAGCAUACUGGGCUAUAACUGACGCUGAAGCACGAAAGCGUGGGUAUCGAACAGG
rnacentral:rRNA from 1 species